UGACAGAAUGUGAUUAAGCUGCAGAAAGCACAAUGUAGAAGCCUGUCAACAGUUUAGGAAGAACUCAAGUCAUUCUGAACUCAGCCAACAACAGAGCCAUUGGAGAAUGCCACUAUGAGGUGUCAACACAAGUCACAAUGACUUCUGCAGGCAUAAAAGGAAAUGGAGCUCCCACCAUAUCUGAGGAAACAAGAAAGGUCAAUUGGGCUGUUCUCUUCUUUCUCCGUCUCUUCUUUCACCACAUCCCUCAACAUCUUAAACCUCUCAUUGAUUCCCGGCAUGAGGCAGUUUGAUGGAGAGCACUGUUCAUCUCUGGAUGAUAAAGUUCAUGGCUAACCUCUGUCCUUUCACUCUCUCCUCUCCUUAAACUAAGGCUUAAUGACUUGCAGCUCUGAGCAGAAUAGCAAAGCACAAAUGCAGAUAGAUGUUCAGCAAAGCUGGCCCACAAUCUGGCCCAAGGAGAGCAUCAAGGACAACAGGCUCCAUUGAUUUUACAGAAGACUAAUACUGAACCAGUACAAUCCAGGUAAAAUCAGGGCAAAAAGUUACACACAGGAAACAAUAAAAAGGAGAAUAAACAUGAAAGAUCAUGCUGUAGCAGGGACUGAGUUCCUGUCACUGCCUCCAGCCAAAUACUCAAUAACAGAAAAGAAACUCCAGGAAAGCUUUCUCUAAUGUUUACCAUCUGGAACAGUAAAUUCCAGAAUGGCAUCUUACAAACCAGAUGGAUGCCUGUAGUGAGUCAGAACAAAGACAACUCUAACUCGGCAUUGUGUCUCUGAUACUGGCCAAUACCAGCUACUUAGAAGAAGAAAGUCAUUAGCAGAUUUUAAUUGCAAGAGUGACUUCUUUUCCGUGCCAUGAUGAUUGUAUUCCUUUAUGAGCUUUCUGUGAGAGCUUAUUGCAAGCUUAGAAAGGAGCAGUGGAGCAGAGGCAGCCUCUGAGAACUGGGGAUUCAGAUCACAGAAGCAAAGCAUCUGGGUCAGCCGGAGGGAGCUAGAGCUGCUGAAGGUCACAACAAAACAGCUGGAGAAAUAUUAAGGAGACCUAAAACUAGGUCUGUCUGAGAGAAAACUGAUUGGAGAGGCUAAAGAUCAGCCCAUAUCAGGUCUUGCUCAGAAAGCUAAUUCAGAUUAAGCCACGCUAUGCGAAUGCAAAGAAUUAUAUUAAAAUCACAUCACAGAAAAAGGAUUAGUUGACUCAAAGGAAAUGCUAUAUGUCUCAUUUCUCUUUGAUUGUCAGUUUAAAUCCAGAUCAAGACUGUGUUGCUUAAGAUGUGUUAGCAUCUCGUGGCCCAUCUGAGUACAGUAUGAAUCUCUAUUUGCAAGCAGUCAUUCAAGUAGCAGAACAUAGAAUUUCCUCUGUUUAUCUGCUCCAUGCCUGGGCCAGUUCUCAUGACGAAGCCUAUUAGUGUGUACAGUUCCUCUUUGGGUGGCAAUUCAGAGGUGGAAUAGCUCUUCAGAGAGAUAGUGGAGAUGGGCAUCUUAGUUUGUCCCACAAUAAAUCUUGAGGAGACAGAGCACAAAGCCAGUCUUGUUUCAGUCUGUUAGUGAUGAAAGGUGCCGGUAGAGAAGCUGAAGACUGUCUGGAUAGGAUGAAAAACCUCAUUUGCAGCCCAUCAGCAAAUCCAUUUCGAGUGGGCUUGUACUGAUGACUGAGGACAUACAAUUUUGGUUGGUGAGAUCUUUCACUCAGCCUACUCUAUUUUCUCUUUAUGCCACUGCUUACCUAUGAUCGAGCAGAUUUAUGUUACAUCAUUUUGAGAGAGAGGUUGAAAAUUUGUUUUGAAAAUAUAUGAAGUUCCCUCUUCCUUCCUCAGCCUUGGCUUUUCGUAUGUGUUGCCUGCCCAAUCCAUCUUCAUAAGGGCACAUGGAGCCUGCAGCCACCAAAUUGUCCUUCUCAGUAAUAAAAUUAGGGUUUUUAAUCAAAUGUAUUUUUAUGCCCCAGACUUCCAUUUCAAACCACUCCUUAUGCAGUGUUAAUAUAUGUUGUAAAGUAGGCAAGGAAAUAAAAAUACCACAUGAUCUAUUUGAAGCAAAGUGAUCGCUGACUGUGAACCUGAGUUUAUUAUAAAAAAAACCCCAAAUAUGUUUUAGUCAACUGAGGCAGGGCUUUUAAUCACAUAUCACAAAAUUCCUUCUAUGUAGUUAUGUCACCAACAGAAUAAUAGGGAAAAGAGCUAGCAUUUCUUUGCAGUCUUCUCAUGUUUCAUCACGGAAACAUAACUGGUUUACCACUGAAGGAAUCGUUUUGCUGCAUGAAAAGAUAGAGUUCAUUAUGAUGUGUUGCAGUGCCAUGCUAGUGGUGAUUUUUGUUAUGCCGUGCACAGAGUCAAAAACUCUUUCAAUUUGGAUGACUUUAAUUAAAAUUUCAGAUAACAAAGAUAAAAGAAAAAUUCCAUGUCAGAGAGAGUACAGUGUGUGUGUGUGUGUAUGUGUUCUUCUCAGACUAUGGUAAAUUCCCAGAGGGUUAUUUGCUUGAAAAGUUAGACACUUGAAAAGUUAGCUCUAUUUCCGUGCAAAACUUUUGGACAUCCUUGUCUCCAGCUUUCCAGAUUAGUAAAAAGACCCUCAAAAACCUCCUUGCCAUCUACUCUGCCUUUAUCCCAACACAUUUGCUGAUCAGUUUUAAUCGGGAAUUUGAUGGUUGGAGUUGAAGACACUCAUUCUGGGAAAACCCCUUCACACCCACCCGUUGCCCAUUCAUUCACAUUUUUCAAAUAGAAAAGAAAAAAAAUAGUAACUUUGUGUUUGGGUGGGUGUGAGUUAGUAGAGAAGACAGAAGGUGAGGGAGCCAAACUAGCAGAGGGAAAAAAGGUGCUUGAAACAGGGACUAUUUAAAGGGGGGAAAUAAAUGCUGAGUUUAAGUGUUUGUUUGAGGAACAGAGAAAAGCAAAAAUGCUAGAAAUGAGAGAGAAAAGGGGGAACAGAAGGUCAAUGAUCAGACAGAAGGAAAGAAUAAAACUGCAGGGGAAAAACAAUAAAAGGGAUGAAAAAGAGUAUUAAAAAAUCUCAAUAUUUUCAUGAUGAGAAAGCAAUUUGGUUUCAUGUCCAUGUCUUAGUGAAUGAAGCUGGCUUUGGUGCCAAUUAGUUUCUGAGGGCUUAGAACUUGUCCUCAUUUUUCACUGCACUUUUCCUCUCAUCUCAACUGCAGCUUCAUUUCCUGAGCACAGCUGUAAGUCUCUUUUCUCUUGCUGGAGUUUUGGGAACCAUGACCUGCCAUGCCACCAGCAUCUCAAUGAUCAUGCAUGAAAGGCCACAGGGGCUGUCGCAGGCAGGACAGACAGCAGCGGUCUUUAGACAGAGCUUCUUCAGCACCCAUACACAUUACUCAGCAUAAAAAUCAAACUGGUCAGGCACCAGUUUCAUCUUUGCAACUGCUGAUAGGUUCUCAAAAUGGCAUUGCCACAAUAUGGGGCUUCGGAAAUCAUUAAUUUGGGGGAUUGUUUGUUGUUGCUGUCUAGACCUUUAAAAGGUGAAAAUGUACAAUUUUUCAGAUGUGUUGAUAUGCUAUCUGUAGCAUUUUAAAGUUCUGGGGAAGGCAUCAUUUUUCACUAAAAGUUAUGGUCAUUGUAAGAUAAAUUUCAGUUGAACUCCAUUUAGACACUUGAGUGUUGUUCCCAGAGUCCAUCCAGAGCAGAGGUCUUCCUAAGGCCAUAGGAUGUUGUGCAGAAAGACAACAGGAGUUCUGAAAUAAUUUUUUGGCAUAAGGAAUAAAAAUAAAGUUUUAACCAAAGAAAAGAGAAACCUCUCACAUUCCAGCUGCAGAAAGCUAUA